ensembl:lncRNA
GAUGGGAUGACAGCAGACGAUAAAAGAUGAUGAUGAGGAUGAUGGGGGGAGGAAUUCCUGCCCUUUGGACCCAGUUUUCCUUCGAAGUCCAAACCCUCACCCCCCAGGUUUCCUUUCCCAUCUUUGGCCUGAAGAGAAGAGGGGGGGGAACGUGCUACGAAGGAGGAUAGAGGAGCUCCUCCCCUCCUUUUGGGCGUUUCUUCAAAAGAGAAACCAAAAGCGGGCGAGAGGGCGCUUAUCCUGACCCUUUUCCCGCGUCUUUAGGGUCUUUAUGCAGGGAUUACAACCUCGAAGGAGGAGAGCCAUUGGGAGGUGUGCAAAAGAUGGGGGGCUUUUUCGCCCCUAAAAUGGAAUGCAAAAGGGUUUUGCACGGGGGGGGCGUCGCCGAUUCUCCGUGAAAUCCGGAUUGUAAAUUAGCUCACCCCCCUUGUUGUGCAUUGCAGGCAGGCCUUGCAAGGCAGGCGUUUGUUUUGCUUCUCUGAUUCCGUGAGGGGCGGAGGUGGGGGGAGAUGGGAUGUCUCGGGGUCCCGAUCCCACCCUUGAAGGCAGGAGAACCCCACCCCCACCCCCCAAUGACUCAGAGAGAGACACAACCCUUCGCUUGAAUCCUGGAGGCACCGGGUGGGGGCGGGUAAAGAGAAAAAAAAAGAACGAGAGAAAGUAACUUGGCUUCCCUCACCGCCCACACAGCCUUUUCUGGAGAACUCGGGAGAACUUAUUUUGGAGGCUCACUGCAUCGAGGCUGGAGCUCAGCAAGGCAAAGAGGGACCGGACGGGUCCACUUUCGCACUCCCACCCCACAGAAACAGAAGGGGAAACAGCAGGGAUCUUUCCAUCUCACGCACAGUCAAAAGCAGGACUCCUCCAGUUCAAGCACAAAUCAGUGGAAUUCUCUCGACCCUGACAUCUCUCUCUCUACCCAGAGAUAUUCUUUCUCUGUUCCUCUCUCAAAUGGGAACGGAGGAGGAUUGUACGACCGUCAAGAUCCUGCCAUUCAGGAGGCAAGUAGAAUUAUGUAUUACAAUGCGUAUGACCCUUUCCCUUCUCAAUAGUCCAUACAGCCCCUCCCCCCACGUUGCUAAAAGUUUAUUACUUUGCCCUUCUGCUUUCCACAGAUCCGUGGACCAACUCCCCAGGUCCCGACCGGAGGGAGGGAGACGGAGUGGUACAAAUUGAGCGAGCUUCUAGUCACGGGAAAGUUGGCAGGAAAGUGGUAGGGAGGGAUCCCUAUACGGUUGAAUAUGGUUGGCAUAAAUUGGGCUGGGAUCACCUUCUACUCAGAAGGAAACAUAAACGUAAGGAUAUUUUUUCUUUUUCAACCAUCAAGUUGCUUCUGACUUAGGUGGACUCUGAUAAUUAAGCACCUCCAGAAUUUCUAUUGUCCAUCACCUAGUCCAGAUUUUGGAAAAGCAAGGCAGGGGAUUCCUUUCUUGAGUCACUCUCUCUUAUGUUCAUGCCUCCUCUUCUCCUACAGCCUUCCCAUCUGCCAACAAAAUCUCAAGUAGGGAGUGUGUGUCUGGGACUUGCUCAAAGUCCCUCUAAUUUUUUUCUCAUAUUCCACGUAAGUGGCCAUUUCUCACAUUUUCUGCCUCUAACUCAGUUUGCCUUGUGUCCAAUCAGACCUCUCAGUGACGGACAAGGUUUAGAUAAUUCUCUUCAACCAAUUUCUGCAUCUCAGCUUUAGUACUAAUACUACUCUCUGUGGUCGACUUACGACUCAAGUAGGUGAUUCACCCAUUAACAGCUCAAAAUCCUCUUGUGUAGCUAGGCCUGCAGAACUUGGAGCUGUAGUGAGAGUUGAACAGAAAUAAAAGUCAUAUCCAGGAAGCA